ACGGCGGAGUAAUACAUGAACAACGUGCCCUAAAGUCCGGGACAAACGCAGAAAUACCAUAAAUACCGGAUGUGGUGGAGAGAUGGCAUCAUCAUUCCAUUAAAUGGUUUUUCGCUUUAGGAGCGGUUCAUGGCCUAUCAGGUAGUUGGUGGGGUAAUGGCCUACCAAGCCGACGACAGGUAGCGGGUCUGAGAGGAUGAUCCGCUCGAGUGGGACUGAGACACGGCCCACACACCUACGGGUGGCAGCAGUUGGGAAUCUUGCACAAUGGGGGAAACCCUGAUGCAGCGACGCCGCGUGGAGGAUGACGGAUCUAGGUCUGUAAACUCCUUUUUCAUGGAAAGACUUAGGACGGUACCAUGAGAAUAAGGACCGGCUAACUACGUGCCAGCAGCCGCGGUAAGACGUAGGGUCCAAGCGUUGUCCGGAUUUACUGGGCGUAAAGAGCGCGUAGGCGGUCUGUUAAGUGUGAAGUGAAAUCUCCAGGGCUCAACCCGGAAACUGCUUUACAUACUGGCAGACUUGAGGAAUGCAGAGGUUUGUGGAAUUCCCGGUGUAACGGUGAAAUGUGUUGA
rnacentral:rRNA from 1 species